CCCUUAGAUGUUCUGGGCCGCACGCGCGCUACACUGACAUGUUGAACAAGUUUUUUUCUUUUUUUACGAGGAAAAAGUCCUUAUCCGGAAGGAUUGGGUAAUCUUUUGAAUCCAUGUCGUGAUGGGGCUAGAUUCUUGCAAUUAUUAAUCUCCAACGAGGAAUUCCUAGUAAACGCAAGUCAUCAGCUUGCAUUGAAUACGUCCCUGCCCUUUGUACACACCGCCCGUCGCACCUACCGAUUGAAUGAUCCGGUGAGGUCUUUGGACUGAGGCGACGCAGACGGUUCGCCGCCCGCGACGCCCUGGGAAGCUGCCCAAACCUUAUCAUUUAGAGGAAGGAGAAGUCGUAACA
rnacentral:rRNA from 1 species